rnacentral:tRNA from 1 species
UCCCUGGUGACCUAGCAGUUAAGGGUUUGGCACUGUCACUGCUGUGGCGCAGGUUCAGUCCCUGCCCUGGGCA